GAUCGAACAGAGGCUGCAAAUAGAAUAAUAUGUACUAUCAGAAGUAGGAGACCUCAGAUGGUCAGAAGUGUUGAGGCACUUUGUGAUGCUUAUAUUAUAUUAGCAAACUUAGAUGCCACUCAGUGGAAGACUCAGAGAAAAGGCAUAAAUAUUCCAGCAGACCAGCCAAUUACUAAACUUAAGAAUUUAGAAGAUGUUGUUGUCCCUACUAUGGAAAUUAAGGUGGACCACACAGGAGAAUAUGGAAAUCUGGUGACUAUACAGUCAUUUAAAGCAGAAUUUCGCUUAGCAGGAGGUGUAAAUUUACCAAAAAUAAUAGAUUGUGUAGGUUCCGAUGGCAAGGAGAGGAGACAGCUUGUUAAGGGCCGUGAUGACCUGAGACAAGAUGCUGUCAUGCAACAGGUCUUCCAGAUGUGUAAUACAUUACUGCAGAGAAACACGGAAACUAGGAAGAGGAAAUUAACUAUCUGUACUUAUAAGUCCCUUAGCUACAUGGGAGGCUGAGGUGGGAGGAUCACUUGAGUCCAGGAGUUUGAGGCUGCAGUGAGCUCAAACUCUGCAGUGAGCCCCAGUCCAGCCUGAGCAACACAGCAAGAUCCCGUUUAAAAAAGAAGAAGAAGAAGAAGAUGCCAUUAUUUGGACCAGGAGUCUACAAAUGUUUUCUGUGAAGGACCAAAUAAUAAAGAUUUAUUUUCUUUGUAAAAA
rnacentral:sRNA from 1 species